rnacentral:rRNA from 1 species
UGCAAGUCGAGCGAACAGAUAAGGAGCUUGCUCCUUUGACGUUAGCGGCGGACGGGUGAGUAACACGUGGAUAACCUACCUAUAAGACUGGGAUAACUUCGGGAAACCGGAGCUAAUACCGGAUAACAUAUUGAACCGCAUGGUUCAAUAGUGAAAGGCGGCUUUGCUGUCACUUAUAGAUGGAUCCGCGCCGUAUUAGCUAGUUGGUAAGGUAACGGCUUACCAAGGCAACGAUACGUAGCCGACCUGAGAGGGUGAUCGGCCACACUGGAACUGAGACACGGUCCAGACUCCUACGGGAGGCAGCAGUAGGGAAUCUUCCGCAAUGGGCGAAAGCCUGACGGAGCAACGCCGC